UACAGAGGGUGCGAGCGUUGUCCGGAAUCACUGGGCGUAAAGCGCGCGUAGGCGGCGCGGUAUGUCGUGCGUGAAAUCUCCCGGCUUAACUGGGAGGGGCCGUGCGAAACUGCCGGGCUUGAGGUCGGAAGGGGAAAGUGGAAUUCCGGGUGUAGUGGUGGAAUACGUAGAUAUCCGGAGGAACACCAGCGGCGAAGGCGGCUUUCUGGUCCGAUACUGACGCUGAGGUGCGAAAGCGUGGGGAGCGAUCCGG
rnacentral:rRNA from 1 species